UCCUCAAUAGCUCAGUGGUAGAGCAAACGGCUGUUAACCGUUUGGUCGUUGGUUCAAAUCCAACUUGGGGAG
rnacentral:tRNA from 1 species